UAUCUUCGUCCACCAAUCCACCCCUAAGAGAAAUCAUAUAAAAAACCCGAGCAAAUAUCAAUAUGCUGCAUUAGAACCCCAUUGCAUAGAAAGCUUCAAAGAUCUAUACAAAAAGAGGAUGGCAAAGUGCAUGUAUGAAAUGAAGCAUGUUUAGGAGACAAGUAAUUGAAUACGAGUUGUUAAAUUUCUAUAUGGAUAGAGAGG
rnacentral:misc_RNA from 1 species